GAGGGGAAGUGAUCCAGGUGAGUACCUGUGAGCAAGGGGUUCUGCCACCUUCUAACAGACAGUCCAAUGCUUCAGGGACCCUGUCGGUAAGAGGUCACUGUCGAGGAGAGAGAAGGUAUGCAGUCUCAGAGGGCUGGAGCCACCUGCCAAUUAGGUUUGAUGGUCUUCAGCUGUCCAUGUGAGUAAUCUCCUAGUACUAUGAGGGUCAUCAAUUAAGGCUCAACCUCUUCCAGUUGCUGGUGCC